UACGGAGGAUCCGAGCGUUAUCCGGAUUUACUGGGCGUAAAGCGCACGUAGGCGGGCUAAUAAGUCAGGGGUGAAAUCCCGGGGCUCAACCCCGGAACUGCCUUUGAUACUGUUAGUCUUGAGUAUGGAAGAGGUGAGUGGAAUUCCGAGUGUGGAGGUGAAAUUCGUAGAUAUUCGGAGGAACACCAGUGGCGAAGGCGGCUCACUGGUCCAUUACUGACGCUGAGGUGCGAAAGCGUGGGGAGCAAACAGG
rnacentral:rRNA from 1 species